UCGUCUGAACGGUUGAUAUACAUAAAGAUUGCACAAAAUUUCCUAAUCAGAGAUAACUAAAAUUGAAUAAGUUCAUUUUAUUUGGAGAAGGAACAUGUGUAGGGAUACUGCAAAGGCUUCUUCCUCUUCUUUUUUGUAGGUCACCUGAGUCACUAGGUGACUAUUGCUAUAGUCUGCGUCUGUCCUCCUGCGUUGUCUGUCAUACUUUAACAAUGCAACAUUUUAAAGUUCUUGAUAACUACCAUUCCAAUUCUUUUCAAAUUUGGUAUGAAGCAUCUUUGGGACGCAAAUUGUAAAUUUCAAGACACCUGCUUCCCCGGUGUAUUAGGAGCGGGGCAUAAACUGCUUAACCAUUCUUAAAAAAUCUCUACAACUGCACAUCUGUAAGAAAAACUAUAUGCAUAGUAAUGUAGAGCAAGGAAGCCUUUUUAAAAACUGUUAAAAUUUCAUGAUCCCGAAAAUUAUCAUACAUAGUGAUUAUUAUCUCUAUCAUUUGAAAGAAUUCUUGGCGAUACCGUAUAAAAACUAAAUGCAUAUUUAGGAUAAACAGAGGAAUAUACCAAAAUUGUGAAUUUCGCAACCUCAGGGUUCUGACUUUAGAGCAGGUCCAAAAUAGUUAUAUAAUGUUAAUUUAUUAUACUUUCAUGUAAAAUACUCGAAUCUGAUUGGUCGAGAAGCAUUUGAAAAAACAUAUUGUUACCCUCUGAGAACAGUAAGUUGGGAAACGGGUUGAGAAUAUUGAAGAAAUUAGAGCUUAUAUAAAAGUUUGCACAAAACUGGUUCAAUCGGUAAUAUAGAUUUUAACUGAAUUGGGGGAAGUUUAUGGGUCUGAUAAGGUACAGUUGUACAUAUAUCGUAUGAAACAGUUCGUUGGUGGAGAAAGAAAUUUCGGACCGUCAAAGAUGCAGCAAAAUCUGGACGACCUGUGAGGCUGUAACAGGCAAGGCAAAUGUUUCAAAAGUCAGGGAAAUAAUUGAAAGUGAUGGCAGAUACACGAUUCGUGAUAUUGCCAAAGCUGUUGGCAUAUCACUAUCGCAGGUGCAUUUCAUUUAGAAGCGUAUUUUGAAAGUAGGAAAGAUUUCUGGCAGAUGGAUACCACAUACAUGUAUAUUGGCAGAUGACCAAAAACGGGUGCGAGUACAAAGCAAUUGCUCAAAAUGUUUCCCAAAUUCAAUCAGAGACAAUUUGCAAACAGUGUUACUGGUGACGAAACAUGGGUUCACUAUUUCGAACCAGUAUGAAAAAUUGGAAACAAAAUAUGGCUAACUAAACACGACAAAAGGCAUGUAGUUGACAAAAGAACCAUAAGCACAUAGGACAUUCUUUAUUGCAUAUUCUUCUCAUCAAUCUCAUAACUCCUAUAAGCAAUACAAAAUAGAUAGUGGGGCAAACACGGACCCCUGGACACACCAAAUGUGAUGGUAUAGCCGUACAAAUUCCAGUGUUGAAGGGCAAAGGUAUUACAGGUCGGUGUUACCGAGAUGCUAUACUAAAAAGCCCUUGAAAUAUUAUCAUAAACGACGCCCUGUGUCAGGAUUUAGGCAUGUUCGUCUACUUCAUGAUAAUGCUCCAUCACAUACAUCUGAGCUUGUGAAGCAAUGUUUGAAAUCGGAGAAGGUUACCGUCUUGUCACACCCAUCACACUCCCCAUAUCUAGCUCCAUGCGACUUUUUCGUUUUCCAAAACUUAGAAAGUUCUUAUCUGGUCGUCGUUACAAGUCCCGACAAGGCCUUGGCUCAGCCAUCAGUCAGUGCCUCAGAGGUCUACCAAAAUAAUGGAUUCAGAGAUUAAAAUUAUGUAUUUCAAACCUCGGAGAAUAUUUUGAAGGGAUGUAAUGUUCAUUUCACUAUUUGAGUCGAAUGCUUUUGAGAUAUCGUACAAUGCACUCGUAUAUCCGAAAAUUUAAAAAUAAAUGUUUCAUAAACUAUUACCAAGAGAAUUUAAAGAUUGUUCUUUAUGGUUUGUGAAAAACAGAUCUGCGUUUUCUUAAUAAAAAAUGACUAAUGCUAUGGAGUAUCAAUAUUUUGUCAGAUUUAUUUCAUUCAAUUCAGGUAUUUAUGUUGUCAUUCAAUUAAGGUAUUUAUGUUGUCAUUCAAUUCAGGUACUCGAACGACUAGAUUCAAGAUAUGAAAUAUGGUUUUUUUUUUCUCACGUGUGAUUCAAUCUUUUGUGUAAAUCAACUUCUAUUGCAAAGCUCGAUCUGUAUUGCAAUUACACAAAAGUAAAUAUCAGGCACAUGUACCUGUAGCAACAAGGGGUGAUUCCCCUCCACUUUUACGACAACUCAUUUUCCCAAUUAUCAUUACAUGCAAAGUUGAUUAUGUAUGUAGACACAAUAAUUCACUAAGACUGUUUGUCAUUGCUUUUAUAUGGAUACAGGUAAAUCAAAUGAGUCACUGAGCAAUGAUAUGAACAGAAAUCUAGGGCGGACUUCAAAAAUAAAAAUUCCGUCAUAUGUCGUUGAUUACCUGCUUUAAAGCAAGGUGCACGGAAACAUUCGCCGCAUGCGGAAAAGUUUGGCAAAUACCAUGACAAACUGACAAUUAACUAAUCAACUGACCUUAAUUAACUAGUCGCUGUGGGAAAUGUUGUGCACCUUCUAUGAGAAUACUGUAGAGACCCCUUGAUUUAGCAACACCCCUUUGAUUGUCAUUUAAUAAAACAACUUGGCCAAUAUCAUUUAGAUAAACCCCGUCUCGAUACAAAACAGGGGAACAAGACAUAAGAUCCUCCACCCAGCUGAAUUAGGAAUGCGCUCAAUGCUGUUGCCACCCCAAUGCAACAUUAUAACAUCCGGAGGGCCAAACUGAUCAACCAACCCUAGCAUUUUUAGGUGCCAUAUGUUUCCAUAUCAUGUCCCUCUGGCGAAACCAUCUUAUGGACAUUUUCCUGGAUAGAAGGUACAGGUGCUGAUUACCAAAAUAGAUCUAAGCGUGACUGAAUGCGUGAUCUAUCAAGGAUCGAUGAUCCAAUUAUCCAUACUGUUUUAUGGGAACCUGCAAAAGUUAGCAUAUUGUUAAUAACCAGUAUAUUUUCGCAAGCCUUUUCCGAAAUUAUGAAAAUUCACACCCGGAUGUAAGAUUUAACUGCAUUAGACUUCCAUUUACCCUUGAUUUUGAUAUCUUCUUCUGAAAAAACUCUACGAGGUGCAUACGAGUCCUCCCAAUUCGAAAUGAAUGAGACUUAAGAUAGAUGUGUCGAUCUGAAUGAACUGUAACACUUUGUGCAAAAUUGAAGUACACUGAUAUGAAGUGAGAGGCUUGCCAUUAAAGUGAAGGAAUAAUGGGCCAGAUGAUAUUGGUCUACUAUGUAGAUAUUGUUGCAAUGUUUGAAAUAAGGUAGUGGUUUCAUUACUACAUGUAAGCCUGAUAUAAACAAUCGAACCCUUAUCAGUUUUGGAAUCCCUAAUGAUUAAUUUAAUUUGAUUUUGAAGGAACUGAAAAAACUGAAUGGCAAUUACAAGCGAAGAGUUGUAAGAGACUGUUAGGACAUUGACUCUAAGCAAUGCAAAGAAUGAAAAGUGAAAGGCAAAAGUAAAUAAUGUGCCUCAUAAUAGUUUUUGCAUACUGAAGAGAGUGCCAAUAUAAUGCGAUUUAAGAGGGGGGGGGGGAAUAAGAGACCGCAUGUCCUUUGAAGGAUUUAAAAGAUUCAUGCUUACUUUAGUCGUGUCUUGUUUUUCUUGAAUUCGAAGCUGAUAACUGAGUCUGCUAAUGUAACAUUUUACUGAUGAAUAUGAUAUAUUUGCUGAUGAAUAAGCCGAAUAAUAAACAAUUUGCUCAACAUAAGUUGGCCAUCGUGCAGGAAGCAUGUACUUCAUUCGAAAAUUUGUAAACGAGUCUAUUGCCUGCAACAAGUUGCUGUUGUAUUUUUGGAAACUACUCCCGCUAAAGGUGACUCUACACGACCUUCAAGAUUUCCCAUAAUGCCGGGGAACUGUGUAGAAACUACUGCCGCUAAAGGUGACUCUACACGACCUUCAAGAUUUCCCAUAAUGCCGGGGAACUGUGUAGAAACUACUGCCGCUAAAGGUGACUCUACACGACCUUCAAGAUUUCCCAUAAUGCCGGGGAACUGUGUAGAAACUGCUGCUGCUAAAAGUGACUCUACACAAUUUAGCUUAAAUAAGCAGAACAGGAAGUUUUUCUAGAUUUCAUAGCCAUUGGUGUUAGUGAUACUUUUAGAUAAUGCUCAGAUGACCGAUAAGGUCUGUAGGCCUCUUGUUUGAUAUCAUUACGCUUGGAAACAGAUCUUUGGAAAUUUCAAAAAUUCCACCCUAGGUGCCUAUUGAGUACAGUGAAAUUCAACCUGUUUUCAGAAUCUUCAUUAGUAAAUUAAUAUCGGUAAAGUGAAAACUCGAUCCCUAGUUAGCUCACCUGAGCUACAAACUCAAAUGAGCUUCUCUGAUCCAUCGUUGUCCGUCGUCUGUCCCUCCGUCCGUCUGUCGGUCUCACCGUCCGUCUGUCUGUAUACUUUUCAUACUUUCGAAUUAUUCUUCUUCAAACUUUGUACAAAUCAUCAUUGGGUAAAGGGCAUUUAAUUGUGUUCAAAAGAAGGACCAUGCUUCCUUCAAAUGGGAGAUAAUCACAAAAAUGCAAAACUAGGGUGGGGUCAUUUAAAAAUAGUCUUCUCAAGAAACACUGGGCCAGAAGAGCUGACAUUUACAUGAAAGCUUUCUGACAUAGUACAAAUUCAAGUUUGCUAAAAUAAUGACCCCUAGGGGGUAUAUACAAUGUAUAGGGAAAAUCUUUAAAAAUCUUCUUCUCAAGAACCACUGGGCUAGGAAAGUACUAAUUGAUAUGAAAGCUUUCUGACAUAGUGCAGAUUCAAGUUUGUUAAAAUCAUGGGGUAGGAUGGGGCCACAAUAAGGGAUCAAAGUUUUACAUACAAAUAUAUGAGGAAAAUCUUUAAAAAUCUUCUCCUCAAGAACCAUUGGUCCAAAGAAGUUUACAUUUAAAUGAAAGCUUUCUGAUAUAGUGCAGAUUCAAGUUUGUCAAAAUCAUGGCCCCCAGGGGUAGGUUGGGGGCCACAAUAAGGAUAAAAGUUUUACAUGCGAAUAUGUAGGAAAAUCUUAGAUAUGGGCCAAGGUGACUCAGGUGUGCGAUGUGGCCCAUGUGCCUCUUGUUUUAUUUUUGCUAUGUCAUUUUAAAUGGUAUUUAAGUUUUAAAGGACAUAUCGCAUGUUACUAAAAAAAAUAAUUUUUUUUCAGCAAACUUAAUUCUUUCCAUGCCUUAAACUACUUUAAAUAUGUUUUAAAUUAUGUUUUAAAUUAAAUAUUUUGCGUACUUUUCGAGUUUGAAAGCGAUGACAUUCAAGAAUGAAUUAUGUGAAAAGAAAACUUGAUUGUACUAUAAAUGAUGAGACCAGUGGACACACGUAUCAGUGGUAAACUGCAUUUCAGAUAUAAUCUUUGUUAUGAAUUGCUGAACUAAAGAAAGGAAAUUUUGUACAGGAAGUAAAGUCUUAAACGGUUCAGGGUCGAAUAUGUCACAAUGCUAUAAGAUGUAUGUCUUUCGCAAUAAAGUUAUUAUUAAUAAGUGUGGGAAAUAUUCAAGAAAGAUACUUUUCGUGACUGACAUGGGUUUUUACCCCGUGUGUGACAAAGGAAUAGGGUAUCUGAUAAGAGCUCUAUUCGUCCUGCACAACAGUUGUGCUAAUAUUUCAAAUUUAAGUCAUUAAGUGACAGAAUCAACUCAAAGCUAUUUGCAGUAUUUUGACAUAAAAUGUCUAUUUUAUCACAGUUUUUCUUGUAGGAAACUCGAACCGCCGAUUUGAAAAGAAAGAACGACACAGGUUAAUUUAAUAUGGCGUGUAAAUCAUUGCAGUAUGAUACAAUUCUGCAUUUAUAUGUGAAAAUUAAAUUAAUAUUCAAUAUAUUUUGAUAUCUAUACGCGAAAAUCUUAAUUCAUAUUCGAUAAUCUUGUUAUGUAUAUAUGUGAAACGUUUGACUUAUAUUUGAUAAUUAUAUUAUUCAUAUGCGAAAAUAUUGAUUUAUAUUUGAUAAAUCUCGAUGUAUAUCAAUAAUCUUGUUAUUUUUAUGCGAAAAUCUCGAUGUAUAUUCGAUACACCAUGAUUUAUAUUCGGUAAAUCUUGAUUUAUAUUCAAUAUACCGAUAUAUAUUCAAUAAAUCUUGAUGUAUAUUCGAUACGUCUUGAUUUAUAUGUGAUAAAUCUUUAUUUAUAUUCAAUAAAAGGAUAUAUAAGUAGUAUAUGCGUCUGUCUGGGGUGGGUAAACAAUAGACCUAUUGUUCUCGAGAACAAUAGAAAUGGGUUUUUCCAGUUAUUUUAGAUAGACCUAUUGUUCCCGAGAACAAUAGGUCUAUUGAUAAAGGGUUUUUCCAGUUAUUUUUAGAUAGACCUAUUGUUCCCGAGAACAAUAGGUCUAUUGAUAAAGGGUUUUUCCAGUUAUUUUGUUGAUAGACCUAUUGUUCCCGAGAACAAUAGGUCUAUUGUUAAAGGGUUUUUCCAGUUAUUUUUAGAUAAAAUCUAUUGAUAUCCUCUGAGAUCAUGGGGGAAAUAGAUAAACAAAUAAACGAAAUUACUUAAAAAGUGAUUAAAUAGGUAAAAACGAAAGAAAGAAGGAAUUAUCUCCCUUUGCUUCAAGUUGAGAUUAAAGGCAUUGUGGGCUGAUCCUCGGAAUAUUCCAGCCAUUGACUGCGGAGGAAUACUACGCCGCCAGACGAUGUGGAGAUGGGUAACAUUGAAGAAGACCCUUGCGUAAAGUCUGCGCACUCCACCCCUUCAGACGGACCCCCCCCCCCCCCCUCCCAUCCCCGCCACAGUCACCCAUCCAAACGAGAUCAAUGACUGCUCAAAAGUAAUCCAGAUCAUGAGUGUAACCUUGAAACCAAAUACCAAAUUAAUGAAAAAAUGUACUUGUUUUUUUUUUUGUUUUUUUUUUUUAUUUCUUAUGACCAUCGUCUCUGACAGAUACAGGUAUAUCCAUCGAUGCAUUAAAGUAAAAUAAGUGUCAAGUUUCUUCGCUCGGAGUCCCUUGGAUUAUCUUAUACGACCUGCUCCAUUACGCCACUCGCAUAAUAUAACAAUACCUCAUUGAAUUUUACAUAGCAUCUCUUCGAUUCAUCCUGGUAUACAAGUAAAGCUUUUUAAAAAAGCUUGCCGUCUUUAGCAGCAACUCUAUAGAGCGAAGUUGAAUUAUGUCCCUUGUCUUCAUUAUUGAAUUGAGCUAAAAUAAAUAAUCUCACGGACAUCAUGCCUAUAAAGCUGUGUCCUGACUCCCAUUGUAAAAGUUUGUAUUUAUGAAGGGUAUAUGUACUGGAAAUCAAAAUCACUGUUCCCUGUAUUAGCACUGAUUAAAGCCUCUAUAUCAAACGAAAUUGAGAUUUUCAGUGUGUAUAUCAAAAUAUUUAUUUUUUAACAAAGUUAUGAAACGAAACAAAACAAACUAAAAAUAUAAUAUCAGUAAUCAAGAGUGAAUUCAUCAAAAUUCUAAUGUGAUUCAACGUUACUUCACAGACAUAAUUAUCAUUGUGUCUCUGAUUUAAAUCAUGAAAAAACGUCACUCUAUGAUAUGUAAGAAAAAAUAUGAAACAAUCACACAUAAUUAACUAUACUUCUGGAAGUCCCUGAAAAUGCAUAAAUUAGACUCGUUUACCUAAAUUGUAACAACAGGUGGAUGGAUUAUUUUUUUGCAUGCUUUCAAAAAACCCAGUGACCCUCAUUUUGAAGUCAAGCCUUAUUUAUUCUUAUGUAAUUCUUAGCUUAAGGUAUCAUUAAAACUGUUUUGUAGGGAUUGGCCCUACCUAAUAGACAAUUCCCAAAACACAAGCAAUCAAAACAAAAAACGGCGAGUUUUUCUGUUUGUAUGCAAAAAUGAAAACAUUGCUGUAAAUGAAGUAACCAUAGAAAUGCUUUGUAUUAGUUGCUUUUAAAAAAGUAAUGUGUCAAUUUUUCUUUUGUUCGUUUUGUCGAUUUUUUUAAGAUUGAAAAUCUUGAAAAGUUGUUAAGUCAUUCAAAAAUUAGAACACCAGAAAAUUAUCUCCCUUGCCUUGAAGAGCAUUUCAACCAAUGAAAUAAUUGAAAAUUUUCACUUCAUGCACUUUCUACCAAUGAAAAAAGAGAGGAAGUGCAAAGUCCGAAGACUGCAAAACACUUCAACUCUGUUCCAAGGAAG